rnacentral:rRNA from 1 species
UACAGAGGGUGCGAGCGUUGUCCGGAAUCACUGGGCGUAAAGGGCGCGUAGGUGGCUCGUUAAGCGUGUGGUGAAAGCCUGGGGCUCAACCCCAGGUCUGCCGUGCGGACUGGCGAGCUUGAGCAAAGUAGAGGCGGGUGGAAUUCCGGGUGUAGCGGUGGAAUGCGUAGAUAUCCGGAAGAACACCGGUGGCGAAGGCGGCCCGCUGGGCUUUUGCUGACACUGAGGCGCGACAGCGUGGGGAGCAAACAGG